AGUGAACGCUGGCGGUAGGCCUAACACAUGCAAGUCGAACGGCAGCACAGUAAGAGCUUGCUCUUACGGGUGGCGAGUGGCGGACGGGUGAGGAAUACAUCGGAAUCUACUUUUUCGUGGGGGAUAACGUAGGGAAACUUACGCUAAUACCGCAUACGACCUACGGGUGAAAGCAGUGGAUCUUCGGACCUUGCGCGAUUGAAUGAGCCGGUGUCGGAUUAGCUAGUUGGCGGGGUAAAGGCCCACCAAGGCGACGAUCCGUAGCUGGUCUGAGAGGAUGAUCAGCCACACUUGAACUGAGACACGGUCCAGACUCCUACGGGAGGCAGCAGUGGGGAAUAUUGGACAAUGGGCGCAAGCCUGAUCCAGCCAUACCGCGUGGGUGAAGAAGGCCUUCGGGUUGUAAAGCCCUUUUGUUGGGAAAGAAAAGCAGCAGGUUAAUACCCCGCUGUUCUGACGGUACCCAAAGAAUAAGCACCGGCUAACUUCGUG
rnacentral:rRNA from 1 species